rnacentral:rRNA from 1 species
GUGCCAGCCGCCGCGGUAAUACGGAGGGGGCUAGCGUUGUUCGGAAUCACUGGGCGUAAAGCGCGCGUAGGCGGCUUGGAAAGUUGGGUGUGAAAUCCCGGGGCUCAACCCCGGAACUGCACUCAAAACUUCCUGGCUAGAGACUUAGAGAGGUGGGCGGAAUUCCGAGUGUAGAGGUGAAAUUCGUAGAUAUUCGGAAGAACACCGGUUGCGAAGGCGGCUCACUGGCUAAGUUCUGACGCUGAGGUGCGAAAGCGUGGGGAGCAAACAGGAUUAGAAACCCCAGUAGUCC